AUGGAAUAUCUAGAGUCUAUCCCCCAAAGGAAAUCACUUAACUCCAAUUGAGAGAUUGAGCGACGGGAUUUUUGAAUGAAUUGCCUUGAAGAUUUCCCACGCGAAUCGAAGGAAUGCCGAAGGGGAUCGAAACGUCCGAUGAGUGGGGAAUCCAAGGAGAGAAAGAACAACGAAAUCCCUUGGUCAAACCUUGAGAACCCCUCGAGAGAUUGAGAGUAGAGGAAGGAGGG
rnacentral:lncRNA from 1 species